rnacentral:rRNA from 1 species
GAUGAACGCUAGCGGCAGGCUUAAUACAUGCAAGUCGAGGGACAGCACAGGUAGCAAUACUGGGUGGUAACCGGCAAACGGGUGCGGAACACGUACACAACCUUCCUUUAAGUGGGGGAUAGCCCAGAGAAAUUUGGAUUAAUACCCCGUAAUAUAGUUGAAUGGCAUCAUUUGAUUAUUAUAGCUACGGCGCUUAAUGAUGGGUGUGCGGCUGAUUAGAUAGUUGGCGGGGUAACGGCCCACCAAGUCUACGAUCAGUAGCUGAUGUGAGAGCAUGAUCAGCCACACGGGCACUGAGACACGGGCCCGACUGGUACGGGAGGCAGCAGUAAGGAAUAUUGGUCAAUGGACGCAAGUCUGAACCAGCCAUGCCGCGUGAAGGAUUAAGGUCCUCUGGAUUGUAAACUUCUUUUAUUUGGGACGAAAAAGGGCCUUUCUAGGUCAACUGACGGUACCAGAUGAAUAAGCACCGGCUAACUCCGUGCCAGCCGCCGCCGUAAGAC